rnacentral:rRNA from 1 species
GAUGAUCGCUGGCUGCGUGCCUAAUACAUGCAAGUCGAGCGAACGGACGAGAAGCUUGCUUCUCAGAUGUUAGCGGCGUACGGGUGAGUAACACGUGGAUAACCUCCCUAUAAGACUGGGAUAACUUCGGGACACCGGACCGAAUACCGGAUAAUAUUUUACACCGCAUGGUUCAAAAUUGAAAGACGGUCUUGCUUUCACUUAUAGAUGAAUCCGCGCUGCAUUAGCUAGUUGCUAAGGUUACGGCUUACCAAGCCAACGAUGCAUAGCCGAACUGAGAGGGUGAUCGGCCACACUGGAACUGAGAAACGGUCCACCCCCACACGGGAGGCAGGAGCAGGGAAUAUACCGAAAUGCGAGAAAGCCUGACGGAGGAAAGCAGCGUGAGUGAUGAAGGACCCCGGGUCGUAAAACUCCGUCAGUAGGGAAGAACAGACGUGAAAGGAACUGUGCCCACCUGGACACUACAAAACCAGAAAGGAACGGCCAAAUGCGU